UAUAUAUUUCUUUUCAGACAUUGCAAGAUGCCCAAAUGAUAAAACAUUCUGAUACUUUAAAUGGAGUAUAAAUGUAGAAACAUAGAUCUGAAAAUGUAAAGGAAAGCUGGUUGUCCAGCAAUCCUUCUGACCAAGUUUUAUCUUGAAAGUUAUUCAGAUCUACACAAUGUGCACAGGUGGUUAUAAAGCUGGAAUAAGCGUGCACAUUCUCCGAAGAGCCAGCAACAGCCUAAACCAAGUUUAUUCAAUAAUGAUCCUUCCGCAGGUUCACCUACGGAAA
rnacentral:misc_RNA from 1 species